rnacentral:rRNA from 1 species
UGGCAAAUUUCUUUUCGCCUGUUUAAUAAAAACAUGGCUUUUUGAUAAUAAUAUAAGGUCAGGCCUGCCCAAUGAUAAUUUAAAUGGCUGCGGUAUUUUGACCGUGCAAAGGUAGCAUAAUCAUUAGUUUUUUUAUUGGAAGCUGGAAUGAAGGGUUUGACGAGAAAGAAGCUGUCUUAAUUUAAUUAUUUGAAUUUUAUAUUUGAGUGAGAAAGCUUAAAUGAUUUUGAGGGACGAGAAGACCCUAUAGAAUUUAAUAAUUUAAGUGUUUUGGAGGUUUGGUUUAAGAUAAUUAGGACAGGUAAAAUUAAUUUGUUGGGGUGAUGGGAAAAUUUAAUUAACUUUUUUUUUUAAAAUAUCACUUGUUAGUGAAUAUAUGAUCCAUUAGAAAUGAUUAUAAGAAGUAAUUACCUUAGGGAUAACAGCGUUAUUAAUUUGGAGAGUUCAAAUCGAUAAAUUAGUUUGCGACCUCGAUGUUGGAUUAAAAUUAGCUUUUGGUGAAGGGACUAGAAAGCUAAGUCUGUUCGACUUUUAAAAUUUUACAUGAUCUGAGUUUAAACCGGUGUGAGCCAGGUUGGUUUCUAUCUUU